ensembl:lncRNA
AGGGUUCAGUUCCAGCUGAUUUUAUUUCCUUCUCAAAAAAAGUUAUUUACAGAAGGUAUAUAUCAACAAUCUGACAGGCAGUGAACUUGACAUGAUUAGCUGGCAUGAUUUUUUUUUUUUCCUCCCCCAAACAUUGUUUUUGUGGCCUUCAAUUUUAAGACAAAUAUUCUACACGGCAUAUUGCACAGGAUGGAUGGCAAAAAAAAGUUUAAAAACAAAAACCCUUAACGGAACUGCCUUAAAAGGCAGACGUCCUAGUGCCUGUCAUGUUAUAUUAAACAUACAUACACACAAUCUUUUUGCUUAUUAUAAUACAGACUUAAAUGUACAAAGAUGUUUUCCACUUUUUUCAAUCUUUAAACACAACAGCUAUAAACCUGAACACAUAUGCUAUCGUCAUGCCAUAAGACUAAAACAAUUAUAUUUAGCGACAAGUAGAAAGGAUUAAAUAGUCAAAUACAAGAAUGAAAAACGCAGUACAUAGUGUCGCGAACUCAAAUCGGCAUUUAGAUAGAUCCAGUGGUUUAAACGGCACGUUUUUGCUUAUAAAAAAAGUGCAAAAAAGAUGUGGUUUACAAAUUAAAGCUACAGGAUCCCUUUUUGCUGUAAAUGCACCAGUUUUAAAGCCUCUGGACAGGAUAGUACUUUGUUUAAAAAAUUUGUUUGUCUUAAAAGCAUACAGUGUUUGGCUAAUUCCCUCCCCUGUUUAUAAGACUGGGGUCGAAGGGUGGACACUGGUGGCAGAUUAAGGGAUACUGUCACUUUAAGAAGCCUGCAGAUUGAAGUGUAAACAUGGAGAAAUUAGGGGCUGAUUUUUUAAACUGUGAGAUAUUAACCAGCCGCCCUAUUAUAAAAAUCAGGAAAUCCAAACAGCGAUUUACACCGAUUAACACCCCCUUUAUAUAUUUUUUACAAAAAUACACUGAGAAAAUAAUCAAACGUUUUCAUCUCUCUUGUCUUUUUUUGUUUUUAAAAGUGUCAAAAGUCUACAUUUAAAUAUAAAAAAUUAAAAGUUAAAACUCUAGCCCUUCAGUGAAGGAGACGUAAAAUGGCGUGGGUAACAACAACUACCAAAAAAAAAAAAGAAAAGAAAAGAAAGAUAAAGAAGAUAACAGAAGGAAGGAAGAAAGGAAGGAAGCAGAAAAAAAGAAAAAAAAAAAGCAAAAGAAAGGAAAGAAAAACAGGGACAAAGUAAGAAAAAAAAUGUUUGGCCAGUAUAAAUACGUCCACAUAUAAAAUGGCAUCUGAUUACAUUUACAAGGAAAAAAAAUACGAGGAUGGAGCAUCGGUGAGGGGAAAAAAACACGUCUUCUCAUUUACACCUAUAAGGAAUAAACACAUACACACUGAGAAAAAAUUUGGUCCUGAAUUGUUUUUUAAAGUCCAGCACAGAUUUGAGUUGCGUUUGAAUCCCUUAAAGAGUUAAGAAUGAAAAAAAGCUGGUGAUAAUUUUGUUUGUAGGAAUCAAACAUAGCGCCAUCUAUCUGCUUUUUAUAUUAUCCUACACUAUUUUAAAAACUGCUCAACAGUCUUAUACAGAAAUCUUUAAAAGAUAGACAGGAUAACAUGCUAUAUUAACCCCACCAGUGAAAUAAUCCAACACCAUCACGAUUCCGAUUAAGAGAAGAAAAAAAUCUUUUUUUUUUUCCCCGAAACCACUCGCCCUCCACUGCCCCGGUACCACAUCAAAGUCUCCUCUCCUCCACGCCUGCGGGCCUGUGAAGUCGCACCUCACUGAUUUCAUAUCUGCAGGAGGUGGAGGCCCCGGAGUCGCCGCCACCUUCUCCCGAACGUGCAAAUCCAUUUCAGUUUUAUUAGGAGCCCCUUCCAGGCCAGUUCGUGUCCUUCUCUCCCCCGCCCCUCGCCCUCGCUGGUGUGGCUUCCAACUAGGUUCUCAGGUCAUUUCCUAGCGCCGGUCACUCAACAUCUCCUCCUCCGGCUGCAGGAGCCAGAAGAAAAAAAAAAAAAAGGGAAGAAAAAGUAAAAGGAAAAAAAAAACCCCAAAUCGGGAAUUCACCAGCGUGGAGUCUCUCAGUCCCGGCGCUCGAACCUGCACGACCCCCAAACCUCUGCCGUCGGUCACACUCCACUCCCCGGAGCCUUCAGUCUUCUUCGGGGGAAAAAAAAGCGGGGGAGGACGGGGGUGCUGAGAACAAAAUCCCCAGGGGCGCGUUGGAUUUUUUUUUUUCUUCCUUCCUUCUCUCGUGACCAAGACAAGAAAUAAAACAAAACAAAAACACCAAGGGGGCGAUGAGAGAGGAACGAGAUUCCUUCAGUCUCUAGAAAAUUACCAGCUCGGCUUCUUGCUGGGGGUGCAGACAAGUCCGGAAGCUCGUUGGAAAACGGGGGUGGGGGGGGGCUCUCUUCAAGCAAAGGGGAGGAAACUCGAAGUCGCUUUUUCGCCAUCAACAACACCACCAGUAACAACAAUGAAAGGUCGCCCCCGUCUACCGCUGCCUCCCCCGCGUCCCCGCGGCCGGGGAGGUGGGGGGAUGGGAGCGCGGAUGCAAACGCGCCGCUGCGCUCCUCUCCGACGCCCGGGAUGCGGCCCAAGCCGGCUCUGCUCACUUUUUUUUUUUUCUUUUCUUUUUUUUUUUCUUUUUCCCUUUUCUCUUUCCACUCUCUCUCUGUCCACUUUUUUGUUUUUCCUCUCUUGCCCCCACCCCCUGGCCCUCUUCUCCCAGCCCGCGCGCCCAUCAGUAGGUGAAGACCAGAUUGGAGAUGCUGGACUCGAGCCAGUCUCCCGAGAUCAUCUCGCUCACCUCGGGCGUGCAGUAGUCCGGGAACUCGAAGUGCGAGCCGGAGCCGGGCUCGAAGUUAAAAUCCAGGUCCCGGUCCAGCGCCGACGACGAGCUGAAACUGCCCAGGGACAUGCUCUCAAAGUUUGAGCUGGGGUUCAGGUCGAGCAGGUCGUCUUCGAACUCAUCAUCGGAGGACGAGGAGCCCGAGGAGGAGGACGAGGACGACGAGUGGGACGAGGCCGAGGAGGACGCGUGCGAGGGCGCGCUGGACGGGGCGGGCGAGGCGGCGCGCAGGCUGGCGUAGCUGCGGUGAUCGGCGGCGAGCGGCCGGCGGCCGGCGACGAGGCGGCGCUGCUGCGGCCGCUCAGGCUCGGCCCGUCCGGCGAGCAGCCCGCGCCGCCGUCCUCGUACAAGCCCAGGGGGUCGCUGGGGUCAGCGCUCGCGCUCACGCCGCCGACGGGCGACGACGAUGCGCCCAGGCCGCCGAACAGUUUGCUCUGUCUCUCGGCUGAGUCUGGUCACCGUGUUGAAGUGGAGAGGAGUUUCUUGAAUGCUGCUUGCUGAGCUUCCAAAGCAAGUUUCUCGCCGCCUCCCAGGCAAGUCUUUUUUUUUUUUUUCCUCCCCUGAAGCAGUUGAUUCCAGUUCACCAGCGCUCUCAGGAGCUCAGGAAAGCGACAUAGUCUCUAUCACUUAGUCCCUUUGCUACAAUGCAAAGCAAAAAAGACUCUGGCUCCAGGACUCUCUGUGGGCGGAAUCGGUACUAAGGAGUUUGUGCAAUUAUUUUGUUGCAAGGUAGGAAGCCAAAAAGCCUUCAUGCAACAGACUGGCAUGAAUAAAUGUAUGUUUUCCCCUCCCUUCUGCAAGAAGGGAGCUCUUAAUGGCAGAGUUCCUCCAAUGCAGACUCUUAAAGAGCGUGCAAGAACUAGCGACCCGGGAGCGAAGCAGGCCGCUUCCCCUCACACACUGUUUCUCUUGCU